CCAGUGGACAGUAUUUUUCUAUU
rnacentral:piRNA from 1 species